rnacentral:rRNA from 1 species
ACGAACGCUGGCGGCGUGCCUAAUACAUGCAAGUAGAACGCACAGUUUAUACCGUAGCUUGCUACACCAUAAACUGUGAGUUGCGAACGGGUGAGUAACGCGUAGGUAACCUGCCUGGUAGCGGGGGAUAACUAUUGGAAACGAUAGCUAAUACCGCAUAAUAUUGAUUAUUGCAUGAUAAUUGAUUGAAAGAUGCUAUUGCAUCACUACCAGAUGGACCUGCGUUGUAUUAGCUAGUAGGUGAGGUAACGGCUCACCUAGGCGACGAUACAUAGCCGACCUGAGAGGGUGAUCGGCCACACUGGGACUGAGACACGGCCCAGACUCCUACGGGAGGCAGCAGUAGGGAAUCUUCGGCAAUGGACGAAAGUCUGACCGAGCAACGCCGAGUGAGUGAAGAAGGUUUUCGGAUCGUAAAGCUCUGUUGUAAGAGAAGAACGGGUGUGAGAGUGGAAAGUUCACACUGUGACGGUAUCUUACCAGAAAGGGACGGCUAACUACGUG